rnacentral:rRNA from 1 species
UACGUAGGGGGCAAGCGUUGUCCGGAAUCAUUGGGCGUAAAGCGCGCGUAGGCGGCCCGGUAAGUCCGCUGUAAAAGUCCAGGGCUCAACCCUGGAAAGCCGGUGGAUACUGUCGGGCUAGAGUGCGGAAGAGGCGAGUGGAAUUCCUGGUGUAGCGGUGAAAUGCGCAGAUAUCAGGAGGAACACCAAUUGCGAAGGCAGCUCGCUGGGACGUUACUGACGCUGGAGACGCGAAAGCGUGGGGAGCAAACAGG